CGCCACCACCUGUCAGAGGGACUAGUGUUCCGUAGGAGUGACGCCACCACCUGUCAGAGGGACUAGUGUUCCGUAGGAGUGACGCCACCACCUGUCAGAGGGACUAGUGUUCCGUAGGAGUGACGCCACCGCCUGUCAGAGGGACUAGUGUUCCGUAGGAGUGACGCCACCACCUGUCAGAGGGACUAGUGUUCCGUAGGAGUGACGCCACCGCCUGUCAGAGGGACUAGUGUUCCCGUAGGAGUGACGCCACCACCUGUCAGAGGGACUAGUGUUCCGUAGGAGUGACGCCACCGCCUGUCAGAGGGACUAGUGUUCCGUAGGAGUGACGCCACCGCCUGUCAGAGGGACUAGUGUUCCGUAGGAGUGACGCCACCUGUCCAGAACACAAUGCACGUAGGAUGGAUGGAGCACGUCACCAGAGCCAGCAGCAGGGCUAUAAACAGACAGACAGGCUUACCCAGGCAGUACUAUCAUGAUUAAAGAAGAUUAAUGGCACGCUUGCCUUUUUUCUGUUCAUCACAACAACUGAUAUCUGUUAUGUUAUGUGUUCUGCUGCUCCCCUGUUGAUGUGACUAUCUGGGGCGUUGCUUUGUUUUGGAGGCUACAGUAUCUUCUAGCCACCCGGCUGUGUGUGUAUUUGGCCGUGGAACUGAACAACACAUCGUGACUGUUUCAUGAAUGAAGAGGGCUGCACUAUGUCAAAUUAACUAAGGCCUUGUUCUGUCGUUUUGUUCAAAGCGGGGGAGUUAAAACAUGUUGAUUUGGUGUUUGGUGACUGGGUAAUAUAUGUUUGUUUUUCCAGUCUAUUUAUUGUGUGUGGUGUGUGUGUGUGUGUGUGUGUGUGUGUGUGUGGCGAGGUUGGGUUCACAAGGACUAGAAUAUCGUCCAUAUUCUGCGGAGUUGCUUCAAAACUGUUAGGAACCUUCUGGAUCUGCGUCUUUAAAAAGAUUCAACUGAAAAUCCUUGCUCAAAACAGGCGCAUUGUAAACCACCGUUUUCUUUUGUUUUAAAUGUUUGUUUUAAAUGUUUCCGUUCAAAUUUGAGUGAGCACAGCUUUAAUUUACCUCCGGUAUGUGAUGAAACCACUUCAUAUGCAUUUUGGGAGUUGAGGUCAUCACCCUAACCCAUUAGGUUGAGGAGACAGGGUCUGAGUUGAGUGGCUGUUUGAACCACUUUUUUCACAUUCAAUUUCAUUUUAUUUGUGUCUCUGUCCAUCUGUCAUUGUCAAUUAUUUCAUAAACGCAAGCAGAGAAUGUUGCCUUUCAUUACUUAGAUUUUGUUUGUAAUUGCAUUGCAAGCUUCCUCCAUUUUCACCUGCUUUACGGUGUUGAAACAUCUUCAGUGUUUUCCAGUGGCCUUACUUUUGUCUUUUCUAGUCAUACAACUGUCUUGUGUAUUUUACAAUGUGUUUUAUUUUUGUUUAUGGAUGCGACUAAAGAAAGUCCAUCCUCCUCUUCUCUCUGUCCUCCCCAAGGCUUCUUCAGCAACUGAUAUUCAAAAGCCUAAGCAACUAAAACAAAUCACUUUUCUUUUCUAUUUCUGUCUGUAAGAAAUUGUAAAUGUUGCAUUUAAGUGUAAAAAAAAUAAAAAAAUAAAUUUCAUUUUUCUGCCGUCCAGACCGCUGUUCUACGGUGUUGUUUCCUUGAAAAUAACAACAAAGUCGAUCUCUUGAUUCUGCAUUUCAAUGCUUUCAUGUUUUGGUUUUCCUCUGUACAUUGCAAUGGGUGUGAAGAUAGUAUUUUAAUAUUUGUAUAAAGUUUAAUUUAAUUCUACCAUGUGUAUAUAACUAUUUCUAAUUAAAGCUUUCUUUUGAA